rnacentral:rRNA from 1 species
CGAGAAGACGUAGCAAUACGUUUGUAAAGCGGCGAACGGGUGCGUAACACGUGAGAAACCUAUCCCGGUCUCUGGAAUAACAAGUGGAAACACUUGCUAAUACCGGAUGCCGUCGGACCAUCGCAUGAUGGACUGACGAAAGGGCUACCGGAUCGGGAGGGUCUCGCGGCCUAUCAGCUUGUUGGUGAGGUAACGGCUCACCAAGGCAUCGACGGGUAGCUGGUCUGAGAGGAUGAUCAGCCACACUGGGACUGAGACACGGCCCAGACUCCUACGGGAGGCAGCAGUGGGGAAUCUUGCACAAUGGGCGAAAGCCUGAUGCAGCAACGCCGCGUGCGGGAAGAAGGCCCUAGGG